rnacentral:lncRNA from 1 species
UUUGAUUUAAAUGUUGUAAUAUGUUACAAGCUUUAUUCUUGUUUCUUUGAAUGUAAAUUUUGUUAGAAAAUUUGCCAUCUCAAAUGUUGUAGAUGUAGUUCAUAUGAGCAUGAAUAUUGGAGCUAAAUUUUGGUGCCAUGUUUUUGGGAAUUUUCGGCCAAAUCCAAAGGGUGGAUUUUUGGGUUCUUGUUUGACUUGUUAAAAGUGUUUUCAAGUAACUUUUGGAACCCCUAUGUACCCUAGUUUGGUUAUAUGUUAUUUCCCUUAAGUUUGAAUGGUUUUGGGAUGUUUUUGGAUGAAAAAUGUUCAUGGAAAUUUUUUGGGUUUUUCAUGAAUGUUCUUCAUUGUUCUUGACAUUUUUGCCAAGAACAAAAAGUUUGGUGUUUUGAUUCAAAGUUUUGAUUUAUUUCAUAAAGUUUAUGUUUUAUGUUUUUCAAAUGUUUAAAUGUAUUAGAUAUUUGUUUAGAAAGGUGGUAGAAUUAUUGGUGGGUGUGUAAGGAUUAAUUCCUUUUCACACACACCACUUGCACCACUUGCAUGCUUUAUGUCAAAACUCACAAAUCAACACACACAUCACUCAUUUCCCUCUCCAAAACCGGCCACUCCCUCAAUGGGAGUACUUUUGAGGCUUUUAUGCAAUUAAAUAAAGUUUUGAUACUUUUGUGUAUUUGCACUUUGGCCCAAAAGUGUACGUUUUUACGUUUAGGUCCAAAAACGCUAAAGGACAAAUUGUUUUGCUCCUUUAAUGAAGUUUUUGCAUUGUUUAAAUUUUGGGCUCUAGUUGUAAUUACAUGAAGUAGUGGACUUUUGUGUUUUUACAAAGUGACCCCAAAAGUUUAUGUUUUUGCAAUAUAGCCCAAAAGUUGAGGUUAUUGCAUUUGGCCCAAAUUAAGUUGGGAACAAAAUUGUUUUGUCUCUUUAAAUGAGAAUUGGAUUUUCAUUUCAUUUAGCUCCAUUUAAAUCAAUUUUAUGGAUACAAAAACCAAAUGAAAAUGUUUCAUUCAAUUUAAUUAGUUAAAGUGUUAAUUGAUUAAAGAGUGAUUAUGAACCUAAGCCUACGAUAAUUGAGCUAUGUGAAAGGCCGUUUCAAAUUUUUUUGAACCAUGAGAAUGUGUAGAUUAGAUUUUGGUUGUAAUUUGAUUUGAUCAAAUGUUGUAAAAGAGCAUAAGCUCUUCUUUACUUUAAAGUAAUUUGUUUUGAUCAAUUGUUGUAAAAGAGCAUAAGCUCUUCUUUACUUUAAAGUACUCAUUUUCUUGUUUUAUUUGAUAUGCAUGAAAAUGGAGUAGAGGGUCCAACGCCCCUAAGACAACACGCCUUAAUGUGAUUAAACGCAUAACUAAAAUCAAUCACCUUCCCUAGAUCGAGAUUCAACACUAGGCUCGUGUUGAAUCUAAACAAAGGUUCAUAGUCAUCCUAAGGCCCUAAGGCAACUAUAUAGUCCAUCAAAUGAAUGCAAAGUUUAUGUUAGUAGUAUCAUAUACUCUUACUUUAAAAACCGUUUUAUAAGCAUAGUGGGAGUAUUAUAUACAACUAAAUUCAAUCAAAUGGACCAAUAGUUGUAAUAGGACCAAAAUUGUUUUAAUAAAGAUUAAAAAGAAUAUUUAUAUGUGAUGAGACCUAAAAACCCUCAACCAAACCAUUAUUAAGUUGAUAAGCGUGAGAGUGCUUUGAACACUUUUUCGUGGCCUUCCACCGUGGUAGGCUCCAAUCGUUUAUGACUUGUACACCGCCUUCCCCCUAUCAUGGGGGAGUGCAAAGUGCAUGCUUAUACUCAGGAGGAGUUUAUUUAAAACAUUUGAUGAGGUUAAGGUAGGCAACGAAUGUGGCCAACAUCGUAUCAUCGUGAGGUCAUACUUGAACCCCUAUCUAAACCGGCAUGGUGGGAAAGAACUUAACUAAGAGAAAUGAUGCCAACAUCGUAUCAUCGUGAGGCAUUGUUUUCUAGAGGCCAAAAAGAUGGGUAAUCACAAGAGGUUGUUGUGAAUGAGUAAGCGUACUCUGUCAUUAUUAUUAAUGCUAGCCAACAUCAUAUCAUUGUGAGGUGGGCUUGGUAGUAGUGAGUCUCCCAUACCCUACUAAGAGUUACCUCCAAAACUCUCGAAUUCCAAUGAGGGAUAUGGAAUUUGCCAAAAAUAGUGGGUGGUGCUAUUUGAUUUAAAGACCCGGAUCAAGUGGCUUAAAAUCAAUCAAUUUAUAUUCGUUAUGUAUUUAUUUACCAAUAUAUUUGCAAACGCUAUCCAAAACUUGACUAAGAAAAGCCGAAUGCUUUAGUUUCCGGACUUGGUA